GUGGGGGAAUUUUGGACAAUGGGGGAAACCCUGAUCCAGCCAUCCCGCGUGUAUGAUGAAGGCCUUCGGGUUGUAAAGUACUUUGGCAGAGAGAAAAGGUACCUCCUAAUACGAGGUACUGCUGACGGUAUCUGCAGAAUAAGCACCGGGCUAACUACGUGCCAGCAGCCGCGGUAAUACGUAGGGUGCAAGCGUUAAUCGGAAUUACUGGGCGUAAAGCGUGUGUAGGCGGUUCGGAAAGAAAGAUGUGAAAUCCCAGGGCUCAACCUUGGAACUGCAUUUUUAACUGCCGAGCUAGAGUAUGUCAGAGGGGGGUAGAAUUCCACGUGUAGCAGUGAAAUGCGUAGAUAUGUGGAGGAAUACCGAUGGCGAAGGCAGCCCCCUGGGAUAAUACUGACGCUCAGACACGAAAGCGUGGGGAGCAAACAGGAUUAGAUACCCUGGUAGUCCACGCCCUAAACGAUGUCAACUAGCUGUUGGGGCCGUUAGGCCUUAGUAGCGCAGCUAACGCGUGAAGUUGACCGCCUGGGGAGUACGGUCGCAAGAUUAAAACUCAAAGGAAUUGACGGGGACCCGCACAAGCGGUGGAUGAUGUGGAUUAAUUCGAUGCAACGCGAAAAACCUUACCUACCCUUGACAUGUCUGGAAUGCCGAAGAGAUUUGGCAGUGCUCGCAAGAGAACCGGAACACAGGUGCUGCAUGGCUGUCGUCAGCUCGUGUCGUGAGAUGUUGGGUUAAGUCCCGCAACGAGCGCAACCCUUGUCAUUAGUUGCUACGCAAGAGCACUCUAAUGAGACUGCCGGUGACAAACCGGAGGAAGGUGGGGAUGACGUCAAGUCCUCAUGGCCCUUAUGGGUAGGGCUUCACACGUCAUACAAUGGUCGGGACAGAGGGUCGCCAACCCGCGAGGGGGAGCCAAUCUCAGAAACCCGAUCGUAGUCCGGAUCGCAGUCUGCAACUCGACUGCGUGAAGUCGGAAUCGCUAGUAAUCGCGGAUCAGAAUGUCGCGGUGAAUACGUUCCCGGGUCUUGUACACACCGCCCGUCACACCAUGGGAGUGGGUUUCACCAGAAGUAGGUAGCCUAACCGUAAGGAGGGCCGGCCA
rnacentral:rRNA from 1 species